rnacentral:rRNA from 1 species
UACAGAGGUCUCAAGCGUUGUUCGGAUUCAUUGGGCGUAAAGGGUGCGUAGGUGGCGCUGUAAGUCGGGUGUGAAAUUUCGGAGCUUAACUCCGAAACUGCAUUCGAUACUGCGGUGCUUGAGGACUGGAGAGGAGACUGGAAUUCAUGGUGUAGCAGUGAAAUGCGUAGAGAUCAUGAGGAAGACCAGUGGCGAAGGCGGGUCUCUGGACAGUUCCUGACGCUGAGGCACGAAAGCGUGGGGAGCAAACAGG